ensembl:lncRNA
CCGCUGCUGACAGCCCAGCAGUGUUUGUAGUUCGGAACAGCCUGACCCUGACCUUCCCACCUGGUGUUUCCAAAGCCCAAUCCAAAGGUUCGCGUGUUGGUUCCAACUCAGGCGAUGAUUCAUGAAGAAGAAAAAUAUGUGAGCCUGUCUGAAAACCUGGAAGAAAUCAAAAUAGUACUGUUCUGUAUUUAAAGCAGUUACUGUGAGAUCUUAGAAGACGCACGACUGAAAUCCGCGUCAGGGUGAGUGGGAACACAAUUUUUCCUUCCCAAUGCAGAAACCUUAAAUAAUAUUAAUAAAACCCCAAAUUCUAAUUCCUAAAUGCUACCUGCAAUCGUCAACCUCUUUAAACAAUGCCUGCAGUUCUGCCUGGAACGUUCUGGAUGGUGCUGCAAGACACCUCCCAGGCGGGCCCAGCACCCCCAGCAGCGCUCUGGCAGUGAGGCUGCCGCCGCUCCCGCUGCCGUGCCGGGGCGUCACCGGGCAGCCUCACAGAGCCCCGCAGGCCUGCACGGACCCGCAGCUCCGGUGCCAACACGCCACUGACUGCGGCUCCGUCACUGCUCAGACCACAAGCACCCCUACUGGUUUCUCGUGG